rfam:Camelus ferus unplaced genomic scaffold scaffold1408, whole genome shotgun sequence.
GAGGGUAGAACUCAGCGGUGGAGCGCUUGCUUAGCAUGCACGAGGUCCUGGGUUCAGUCCCCAGUACCUCCA